UCGUAGGUGACCUGCGGAAGGAUCAUUAUUGAAUGAAUGUAGAGUCGGUUGUCGCUGGUCCUUUCGGGGACAUGUGCACGCCUUCUCUUUCAUCCACACACACCUGUGCACUCGUGAGACGGAAGCCCUCGGGCGUCCGUCUGCUCUACAUAAACUCAUAUCUAUAAUUUGAAUGUAAUUGAUGUAACACAUCUUUAAACUAAGUUUCAACAACGGAUCUCUUGGCUCUCGCAUCGAUGAAGAACGCAGCGAAAUGCGAUAAGUAAUGUGAAUUGCAGAAUUCAGUGAAUCAUCGAAUCUUUGAACGCACCUUGCGCUCCUUGGUAUUCCUUGGAGCAUGCCUGUUUGAGUAUCAUGAAAUUAUCAAAAUAAUUCUUUUGUUCAUUCAAUUGAAUUUUAUUUUGGACUUGGAGGUCUGCAGAUUCACCUCUGCUCCUNUUAAAUAUAUUAGCUGGAUCUCAGUGAGCUCGGUUCCACUCGGCGUGAUAAGUAUCACUCGCUGAGGACACUGUAAAAGGUGGCCGGGAUUGCGGAUGAACCGCUUCUAAUCGUCCAUUCNCUUGGACAACAAUACUUUAUGAUCUGAUCUCAAAUCAGGUAGGACUACCCGCUGAACUUAAGCAUAUCAAUAAGCGGAGGA
rnacentral:rRNA from 1 species